rnacentral:rRNA from 1 species
AGAAAGGGCCUUGCAAUCCUCGUCAUGUUGAUCUCUUGGGAGAUUUGGAACAAGCGAAACACGCGGGUGUUUAGAAAUGUGUCAUCCUUGCCAACUGUAAUCACAUUUAAGAUUAAAACCAAUGCUGAGUUAUUGGGGUUGGCGGGGGCUAAGCGUCUAUGUUCUUUAAUGCCACAAGAGUAG